ensembl:lincRNA
AUGAUGGCCCUGUUGGACACUGACUCCAUACUCUUGGACUUUGGAGCCUCCAGAAGUAUGAGCUACAUAAACUUCUCUUUACAAUGUCCCCCCUCUGUGAUGUUCUGUUAUCAUAUCAGAAAAUGGACUAAGAUCACGCUCUAUCUAGAUUCCAGUCUGCUUGGAAGCUGGUGUCACUGGACCCAACUGGAAAGAUUGGAAGAACUGAAGGAGAAAAGGGCAAAUCUAUCCACAGCUUUCUAAGUAAGUUGAUGAUGAGAUUGGAUUUACUUUUCAGACCACUUUCCUGAACUACAUCUACUUGCUAAAGCAACCAUUUUGAGAUGACUAAAAAUCAGUUUCAACCAAGUCAACAUUACUGGUGCUGUUGAUAGUGGUUCUUUUGAUUGUCAUUUUCUCCCCAAACUGCUUUGGACACAAGUGCCAGUACCAGGGCCGACUUCAAGGAGACUUCCCACUGUGAACAUCAAGGAAACAUCUGGCCGUCUUCAAAGGUCAACUGCUAAAAAUACCUCCAUAUGCUGAGGCCAAUCACCGACACUGGGGACUUGUCAGAUUUGUCUUCAAUGACACCCCAACUUGACGUGCGCACAGAACAGUUCCUAAAGUUCCACCAAUGGUCCAAGAAACAAGAGCAAGGAGACAGAGACUUUCAUCUCUAGCGCCCCCAUGUGUGUGGGAUACAGUUCUGAAGAUGUGCAUAUUUGGUGUGUAUUCUUUCUCUUUAUUGCCUUGAGCACCUCUCUAACAGGUCAAAGAUGAAGGGAUGAUGUCCAUUGUGGGUUAAAGGGGGCUGUGGAAUUUUCGGCAUUAUUUUGAGCUUGAAUUGCCACUGAUCAGUGGGUUGUGUACUAUCUUGGCUCUGUGCUUAAGCAACUUACACACGUGAUAUUUAAAUCUACCUCAACCCAAAGGAGUAGGAAUUUGAGUUACCUCCGCUUUAUAGAUGAGGAAACUGAGGAACGAUGAGAUUAAAAACCCCUCUACCCAUCCUGAAUGUUAGCUGUUGACACUCAUUUCAGUCUGGCUUUCAAGCAUGCAUUGCUUUAUUGUUUUAUUUUUAUUUUUUAAAAACAAGCCUAAUAACUAUUAUUUUGUAAAAUUGUUACAUGCACAUUAAGAUAUAUUUAAGCCAGUGAAGAAAGAUACAGAAGACUGGAAAAUAAUUCACCUUCUACAGAAAAACAAAGAUCAGUAAUUAGUGAUCUAUCAUUCUAGAUGCAGUGGCCCAGUGCUCACUCCCAGGCUUUGCAUUUUCUUGAGUUCUUCUGAUUCUUUUUGGUUUAAGUACAUCUCGUCGUCAAGCAUUCUCUUUAAGAGGCACUCAGGGGUUCUGUGUGGGAAGUUCUUCCAGAUUGAGACUUUGCCUACAACUUUUAAAAAGCAGUAUCUUCUUGAGAUGUAGUUUUAGUCCUCACCGUAUGACUUUUUUGAGGGGGGCUUCUGUCCUAAUUGCAAUACAGAGGUAUAAAUGACAUACAACCAGCUGCCCAUAUUUGAGUGUGCAGUGUGAUGUGCUUAAAAUAUGUUUACACCAUGAAAUCGUUACUCCCUCCUCUGCUGAGCACAACCACGGCCUUCACACCCUUUCCUAUUCUCCGCGUCCUCAGUGUCCCUAUCUCCUGGCAACUGCUAGUGUGUUUUCCGUCUCUGUAAUUCAACUGAUAUUCUCUAGAGUUUUAUAUAAAUGGAAUCAGAGGGAAAGCUCUCCAAUUGUCUGUUUCACUUGGCAUCAUUACCUUGAGAUUUACCCAUGUGGUGGUGUGUAUUAGCAGUUCCUUAAUUUCCUUGCUGAGUAGCAUUCCACUGUAUAAACACACCACUAUUUGUUUAUCACUUUAUCUGCUGAUGGACACUUAGGCUGAUUAUAGUUUUUAGGUAUGACGGAUUAAACUGGAAUUACCACUUGUGUACAAAUGGAAGCAAAGUCUUUGCAGAUAGGGAGGCAGGGAGGGAUUGAAGCGAGGGCAGGGGAAUGGGGAAAAAAGAAGAACCAAGAUGGAUAUGUAGAGGUGCAAAUUUCCAACCAUGUAUGUAAUUAUAUUGUAUACCUUACAUGUACCAAUAAAAUUAAUAAUAAUAAGAAAUUUGUGUACAGACACCCAAUAUGAUUUCUUCGGGGUAAGUUCUUAGAAGUAGAAUGGCUGAAUCAUGGUGCACAUUUGAUUUUUAAAUAAUUGGCACUUUUCCAAGUUGUACCAUUAUAAACAGUAUAUGAAGGUCCUAUUAUUAUUUUUAUUAUUAUUUGGUUUUCUGAGGCAAGGCCUCAUUAUGUUUAAGCUGGCCUCAAACUUGCCAUAUAGCUCAGGCUGGUCUUGAACUUGCAGCCCUCCUAUGCAGCCUUGCAGUGUGCUGGGAUUCCAGGCAUGAACCACUGUACUCAUCUGUGUUCCAUUUGCUUAUAUUCUUUCUCGUACUUGGUAUGGUUAGGCUUUUAAACUUUAGCUAUUCUAACAGAAGGGCAGUGGCAUUACACAGUUUUAACUCGCAUUUCCCUGGUGAUCAAUGAUAUUGAACAUUGUUUCACAUGUUUAUGUGUAUCUGUGAUUUUUUAAAAAUUGAAAUGUCCAUUCUGAUAUUUUGCUGAUUUUUAAAAAGUUUUGUUUGUUUACUAGUUUGGAAUUUUGAGGGCUCAUUAUAUAAUCUGGAUGCAACUAAUUGAUUUGAAAUCUCUCUUGCAGUUAUUUUCUUCUGGUUUGUGGCUUUUAUUCACAUUUCUUUAAACAGUUUCUUUUGAAGAGGAAACAUAAGAAUUUGAUAAAGUGCAAUUAAUUACCCUCCCU